CCUACGGGAGGCUGCAGGGAGGAAUAUUGGUCAAUGGACGAGAGUCUGAACCAGCCAAGUAGCGUGAAGGAUGACUGCCCUAUGGGUUGUAAACUUCUUUUAUAAAGGAAUAAAACGAGGCACGUGUGCCUUUUUGCAUGUACUUUAUGAAUAAGGAUCGGCUAACUCCGUGCCAGCAGCCGCGGUAAUACGGAGGAUCCGAGCGUUAUCCGGAUUGAUUGGGUUUAAAGGGAGCGUAGAUGGGUUGUUAAGUCAGUUGUGAAAGUUUGCGGCUCAACCGUAAAAUUGCAAUUGAUACUGGCAGUCUUGAGUACAGUUGAGGUAGGCGGAAUUCGUGGUGUAGCGGUGAAAUGCUUAGAUAUCACGAAGAACCCCGAUUGCGAAGGCAGCUUACUAAACUGUGACUGACAUUGAUGCUCGAAAGUGUGGGUAUCAAACAGGAUUAGAUACCCUUGUAGUCC
rnacentral:rRNA from 1 species